rnacentral:rRNA from 1 species
UACGUAGGGACCAAGCGUUGUUCGGAUUUACUGGGCGUAAAGGGCGCGUAGGCGGCGUGGUAAGUCACUUGUGAAAUCUCUGAGCUUAACUCAGAACGGCCAAGUGAUACUGCUGUGCUAGAGUGCAGAAGGGGCAAUCGGAAUUCUUGGUGUAGCGGUGAAAUGCGUAGAUAUCAAGAGGAACACCUGAGGUGAAGACGGGUUGCUGGGCUGACACUGACGCUGAGGCGCGAAAGCCAGGGGAGCGAACAGG